rnacentral:rRNA from 1 species
UACAGAGGAGCCAAGCGUUGUCCGGAUUGACUGGGCGUAAAGCGCACGCAGGCGGACGCGCGCGUGGGGUGUGAAAUCUGGCCGCUUAACGGCCAGGCGCCAUCCCAUACGGCGCGUCUGGAGUGAUGCAGAGGUCGGUGGAAUUGCCGGUGUAGUGGUGAAAUGCGUAGAUAUCGGAAGGACACCAGUGGCGAAAGCGGCCCCCUGGAUUCAUACUGAGCUGAGGCUGCGAAAGCGUGGGGAGCAAACAGG